UACCAGCACCCCGAGUGGUCGGGACGAUUAUUGGGCCUAAAGCAUCCGUAGCUUGUUCUGCAAGUCCUCCGUUAAAUCCACCUGCUCAACAGAUGGGCUGCGGAAGAUACUAUAGAGCUAGGAGGCGGGAGAGGCAAGCGGUACUCGAUGGGUAGGGGUAAAAUCCGUUGAUCCAUUGAAGACCACCAGUGGCGAAGGCGGCUUGCCAGAACGCGCUCGACGGUGAGGGAUGAAAGCUGGGGGAGCAAACCGG
rnacentral:rRNA from 1 species